rnacentral:rRNA from 1 species
AAUAUUGGACAAUGGGGGCAACCCUGAUCCAGCCAUGCCGCGGGUGUGAAGAAGGUCUUCGGAUUGUAAAGCACUUGAAGUUGGGAGGAAGGGCGUUAGGCUAAGACCCUGAAGGUUUGACGUUACCAACAGAAUAAGCACCGGCUAACUCGGUGCCAGCAGCCGCGGUAAUACAGAGGGUGCAAGCGUUAAUCGGAAUUACUGGGCGUAAAGCGCGCGUAGGUUGUUCAGUAAGAUGGGUGUGAAAUCCCCGGGCUUAACCUGGGAACUGCUUUCAUAACUGCUGAGCUAGAGUACGGUAGAGGGUAGUGGAAUUUCCUGUGUCGCGGUGAAAUGCGUAGAUAUAGGAAGGAACACCAGUGGCGAAGGCGACUACCUGGACUGAUACUGACACUGAGGUGCGAAAGUGUGGGGAGCAAACAG